AUUGUCUAUGAUGAAAAUUUGACACCUCUUGUAUGAUUCUGUAUGAUUUAUACAAAGAUUUCCAUGCACUACCAACUGAGACAAU
rfam:Asian citrus Psyllid, Diaphorina citri - Florida Strain, whole genome shotgun sequence.